rnacentral:lncRNA from 1 species
GCCUCUCUUAAAUGGUCACUCAAGCUUAAGGUCCCCAGUACUUCCUCAAUUAUCUCAGGCCUCUCUGAACUUGACCUCUCUCCCCUCCCUGCAUUUAUUACAGUUCUAACUUGUAGGCUUCACUGUCUGUUCAUUAACUGGAGUCAAUUAUAACUCUAGUUGACUAGAACUGUGUACCCUGGGAUACCCAGCUGACUGAUCCCUGAGCUAGGGUUCACCAGCUGUAACUGGCAGAACCAGAGGAAAUUUCUCAUUGGAGUGCAAACUUGUUUGUGUGUGUGUGUGUGUGUGUGUGUGUGUGUGUGUGUGUGUGUGUCUGUGGGGAGGAGUGAGGUAUGUGUGGCCACACAUCUCCUCUAUAGGCUGAGUGGGGAGGGACUGUGGAUCACCAUAACAACCAAGUUUGGUCUAGGAAUAAUCUCUUGGACAUUUCCGGCACCUCUCCAGGAGGAAUUCGAGGCUGGGAUGGCCCCGCGCCCCCGCCCCCACGGCCCUGGUCAUUAAUGGGCUCCCGCUCCGGCUCCCAGCUGCCGCCGCGGCCCGACUGCGGGGGGUGAGGGCCUCGGUCGGCCGUCGCGCACCCCCCGCCGGAGUUGGCGCUCGCCCGCCGCGCGGGGGCCGUUUAAAUGGGCCAAGUUGGAAGAGCGGCGGCGGCACCGGGGCAGCCGCUGGGGCCCGAGUCUCCCAACUCCCAGUGAUCAGACGCGUGUGUGCACACGAGUGUGUGUGUGUGCGUUUGGGGCAGGAGGGGUAUGUGCGCUCCGGGGCGGGGUCCGAAGGGAGGAAAAUGCUAGAAGCCGAAGCUGGAAAGGCUAGGGCCAAUUUCCACUGUCUGGGUUCGGACCCGAGUGGGGACUGAGGGGGGAACCCCGCGGCAAGGCGCUCAGAUGCCUCGAGCCCCCUGAGUAGCGGGGUCCCGUAGGGCUCGGAGUUUGGGGGCCCCGGGCCGGGGGCAGGAGCCGCUGAGCUCGGCGGGUCGAUCGGGGAUCAAUAAGUAUUUCCAAGCAGCACCAUGCGUCGGGCUGCAGAGCCCGCAGCAGGAUGUCAGGUCUCGGGCUGGAGAGGCGGCCCAGCCAGAGGCACCGCAGCGGCUGCAGUCCGGGCGCCAGUAGCGGCGGCGGCGCCGGCCCCGGGGGCUUCGGCGCACUAGCUCCCAGGGCGCGGGCGCGCUGC